rnacentral:misc_RNA from 1 species
UUUUUCUUCUUCUUCUUCAUUGCUCAAUAAAAUUUCACUGAGAUCCAACUCCUCUUUGUCAUUAUCUUCUUCUAGAAAUUCCAGCCCAUCUGUUGUGUCUCGGUGUUUAACAAGAAGCCAUCGCAACAGGCGGUCCUCCUUGUUUAGGUAAUGCAGCUCCUUGUUGAUGUUGGGUGUGGCCAUCAUUGUCAUCUGCAUGAGUUGACCCUGAACAAGUAUAAUAGAAACAGCAGUAAAUUUCACCAAUCAAUUUAUGUAAAAAUUUCUAGUGAAAGUGAAAUAUGUAUUAUUCUCCCGAGUUAAUAGGAACAAUCAUGCAGAACAAGAAUGUUCUGAGUUCAUACAACCUGAACCUUGCAACUAUCAAUAAUCCAAAAACUAAGCAUCAUCAUUUGCUGCUUAGCCUAUCUAUCUAGGUCAGCUGCAGUGUAAUUGCUUUUAAGAACAAGCAGCAGAAUUUACCUCAAUCAUCCUAAUGAUCAGAUCAAGCAGAGCUCGCUUUUUGGCAGUUGUCACAACAUUUUGAAUUUGAGGAAACAUGAAACUUAAAAAGGAGGCCAAACAUAAGUCAAUUUCGCUAAGCAAGGGAGAGGGGGAAAACAAGGAAGGAGCUGGAAGACCUUAAAAUUUGUGCCAAUUAUCAAGAUUUUCAAUUUCGCAACAUUCCCUCAACAUUUCAUCCAUCAUUACUAAGAUGUGACAAUUUCAAAGUUGCAUUUCAUGGCUAACAAAAACUGAAAGCCUCUUACACAUCUGCAAAGAGUAUGGUUCAAUUGAAUUAAUUUUCCUUUUCUAUUUUUUGAAAAUCUUUAUUUGAUCCUAUUCCUUACCUUACUUAUUAAAAACUUUGGACCUCACACAAUACCACUUUGGUUUGGUACCAAUUUAACCUAGGAUCUACACAGCAACACCAACACAAUUCAAUCUCACACCAUAAAAUCCUAAGCCCAAAAAGCAACCUUAAAAAAAUCCAUUUCCUUAAUUAAAAUUUAAUUCUCAUACUGAAACACAAUUUCAAAGGAAAACUAAAACUAAUCCAAAAUUAUGCGGGAAACUGCAAUCCAAAAAUUGAACAUCAAAAGAAUAAAGAAAGAAAUGUGACUAAAUUAUAGCAUAAUACAGCAAAGAAUUUUCACCUGAUAAUAUCUUCCAUCAAGCUUCUUAAUACCGUAACCCAGUUGAAUGGUACCAAAUGAUUUUAUAUCAGUAAGAACUCCAUUUCUACCGUAAACAUGUUUUCCCACUCGAGCAACCAAAUCCAUCAAUGCUUCCUUUCUUACAUGAGGUUUCAACAGAAGCAUGCAAUCAUAAAGAGGCAUUUUUUUUUCACUCUUAUACUCUUCCCCAGCUGAACUGGAUUA